rnacentral:rRNA from 1 species
AGCAGCCGCGGUAAUUCCAGCUCCAAUAGCGUAUAUUAAAGUUGUUGCAGUUAAAAAGCUCGUAGUUGAAUUUCGGGAUCAAUAUGUCGGUCGUGCCUUCGGUACGUACUGGUAUCAUUGGUCUCUCCUUUCUGACGAACCAUGAUGUCAUUAAUUUGGUGUUAUGGGGAGUUAGGACUGUUACUUUGAAAAAAUUAGAGUGUUUAAAGCAGGCUUUAGCUUGAAUACAUUAGCAUGGAAUAAUGAAAUAGGACGUUCGAACCUAUUUUGUUGGUUUCUAGGAUCAACGUAAUGAUUAAUAGGGAUAGUUGGGGGCAUUAGUAUUCAAUUGUCAGAGGUGAAAUUCUUGGAUUUAUUGAAGACUAACUACUGCGAAAGCAUUUGCCAAGGAUGUUUUCAUUAAUCAAGAACAAAAGUUAGGGGAUCGAAGACGAUCAGAUACCGUCGUAGUCUUAACCAUAAACUAUGCCGACUAGGGAUCGGAUGAUGUUAAUUUUUUAAUGACUCAUUCGGCGCCUUA